rnacentral:rRNA from 1 species
UAGAGCGGCUGUGCGCACGCCCCUGCUUUCGGGCCCCGGAGGCUGCUUGGCCUCUGGGCUCCGACACAGGUCGUGCGGGCCGGUGCGCCCUUUCCACAAGAAAGGGUGUGCCGCGCUGGCCAAACCGCACCCAACGCAAACCGAGCCUGAAGCCAAGGGGCGCAGCACCGCUGCAGCCCGCAAAACCAAAGACAACUCUCAACAACGGAUAUCUUGGUUCCCGUAACGAUGAAGAACGCAGCGAAAUGCGAUACGUAGUGUGAAUUGCAGAAUUAUGUGAACCAUCGAAUCUUUGAACGCAAAUUGCGCCCGAGGCCUCGGCCAAAGGCAUGUCUGCCUCAGCGUCGGCUUCACCCCUCCUCUUCUCUCUCUUCAAAAAGAGAAAAGAGGGACCUGGUGGUCUCGGUCGCAAGACCGGGUCCGCCGAAGAGCAGAGGCUCAGCCGCUGUCCCAAACAGGGCAACAGUCUGGUAGGCGACUCGUCGCAUGCCGCUGGUGCCCCGGGCGGGCGGCCGCCGGCAGGAAGUGUGCACGCACACUCGUUUCAA